GCUAGGAGAGGUUCAUUGACAUGGUCACAGUCACACAGAUAGACAGCUGAGCAAGGAGGAUUCAAACCCGGGAGUCUGGCUCUAGGGCCCCUGCUCCCCAUCGAGCUUCUCACUCCAGCUCAGGCUCCUGACCCCCCUGACCUUUCCACAGUCCUGAUGGGCUUAUGAGCCCUCAAGGACAGCUUCAUGAAGCCCUGAGCCAAGGAUUCCGGGCAAACAGGAGCCAGUGCCACUAGGUGUGGAUGCCCUCGGGCAGGUGAUGAAGAGGUGCGUCAUUUCCCCACUCUCCAAACUGGGGGGAGUGAACUUGGCCUGGGUUCAGCUGGAUGCAUGAGGGCCUGUACUGCAGCAGAGGGACACCACCUCCUCUUUGCUCUCUCUCCUUACGGGAAGUGGACCUCCCAUAGAGCAUAACCCAGCACUCAUAGCCCAGAAAAGGGAGACCCUCAGUAGCGGCUGACCUUCCUGCCCGUGGUCCCAACCUCCACAAGUGAUGGCGCCAGUGCUUUGUCUGGUAGAGAGUGCUGAUAGCGGGAGAAGCUUUUGCUGAUCAACAGGACACUGUCCUAUCGCACAAGGACCUGGGCUCAGAGAAACCUCCCCGACAUCGUGUCAUGGGCAGAGACUUCCUGACAAAGGCACUGCUAUAAAUCCCUGCAGAAAAUAACAGCUACACUAGGCAUGAUGAUGCAGAUGAUGGCGGCAGCCACAACUUGGAGCAUGCGAUGGAGAAAGAGAGGGAGAGAUCCAGCGGCAAAGGACUCUCUCCAGCAGACCCGAUCACUACCGAUGAGUGAAUUGUGUGGUACAUAAAUUAUACCUUAAUAAAGCCAUUAAAAAAACAAAACCAGUGAGAUGAAGGGCAAACAUGAGAAACUGUCUCGAAAUGCAGAGGACAGUAACAGAGGUGACAAAAUGAAAGACAAAGAGGCUACAAAUGAAGAACUAGCAGGCAGCUAACCAGCGUUUCUGAAGGAGAUCCUAGAGCGAGUGGGAUGAAAGUCACAAAUAAAGAUGCUGAUUCAAACUUUGGAACCAGACGAGACAUCUAGUUCUUCAUUUUCUGAAGGUCAGGAACUGGGGAGCAGCGCUGCAGAGACGCUGCCCGUCACCCCUUCCCAAGCAGCUGACUGCUCCAGGGCAGGCUUUUCGGAGGGAAGGCAGCUGUGCUGGGUCUUUCCGGGGGUGCUUUUCUUCUGGCUGCCUUUCCAAGUAUUCAUGAACAACUUCCCCAUCAGUCACGAGAUUUUCCCAAGACUUACAGGAACCUACCCUGAAGAGUAAGGAAAGUUCUCUCCAUGUUUCUAAAUGCUACCUUCAAGAUAUUUUCAGACUUCUUGAGUUUAAGGUCCCAGGAUUGAACCUUUGCAUGAUGUCAAGUUCCCUGUGGAGAUGUUGUUGGGCUGGGACCCAGGAUGGCUAUGCACCCCUGCCUCCACCCCAAGUCAGGAUAAGAAAGAGAAGUGCUGUUUGGGUCAGGCAGGCAUAAUGCCGAGCGGGCGCUCCGAAGUGUCCAACUGACUGAGUCAAGUUCAGAGGAAUCCAGCACCCCUGGGGUGCUUGGAGGGUAGCUGAGCCGUGUUGGCGUGAUGGAUUGGAGUAUUGAUCAGCAAAACUUUACUCCUUUUUCCCCCCACCCCCGGGUUGUGUGUACUUCCUGUUUCACUGACUUCGGACUUGGUCACGUGAUGUGUAUUGGUCACUGGAAUAUGAGCAGAUAUGCUAAGAGCAGAGGCUUUAAAUAUGCAUACGUCGUUCUUCCCUCUUACACUCCUUUCAUUCACAAUGAGAAGAAUAUGCCUCAGGUCACCCCUGCUCCUUCAGCCUGGUCCCCCGGAUAUAAGUUUUGGACAGUUUAGUUUGAGGUGAUUAUUUGUUAUGUAAGCAGAGAUGUGUAUGAUUUGGGGUUCAAGGGGCAGUCUGGGCUGAAAAUCUACAUUGGAGGGAUCAAAAGAUGCAUGGCAUUUAAAGCCUUGAGACAGAUGAGCUCACCAAGGUGUGGGUCUAGAUGGAAAAGUAGUCCAGUGAGUGAAUCCUGGUUUCCUUCAAUGGUAAGAGGUCAGGGAGAUGAGACGGAAUCAGCAAGGAAAUGGAGAUGGAGCAGAAUGGCAGGCAGACAACCACACCCGUGAGGAGCCCUGGGAGACAAGUAGAGAGAGGGCUUGGGGUUGGAGAAAGUAAUCAAAUGUGUCAAAGUGAGAUGACAUGUGGAAUUGACCAGUGGGUUCAGUGACAGGGAUGUGGUCCACGUCCUUGAUCAGAAUAUAUUCAGUGGAGUCAUGGGAGCAAAAACAUCAACCGAAAAGAUUCAGGAGAGAAUAGUAGGACAAGUGUUUGCAAGCAUAGACGAUUCUUAUGAAAACUUGGCUCAGAAAUGAAGGAGAGAAAUGGGGCUGUAGCCAAAGGGGGAAAUGACAUAGAGAGAGAUUUUUUAAACUAUAGUAUAAAAAAAGAAUACGUGUGAAUGCUGGUGGGAAUGAUCCAAGAGAGAGAAGAAACUGAUGAAGCAGUAAAGAUGGAGGAGUGAUGACACAGUGAUAAACACAGUUUAUCCUUCGGAACUGGGAGAAGAUUGAGUGUGGAAGUGAGGGCGCUACAGCGAUGGGAGCUUGCAGACGCUCUCCUCCAGUUGCAUCAACUUUCUCAAUGGAACAGGAAGCCAGGUCAUCAACAGAGUGAGCACGUGCAGGCAAAGAAGAAAGUGUAGCAGAGUCAUCCAGGAGGGCUGAAGAAUGAAUGGACCAAGGAUGUGUAGCUCAUAUUCUGGCCAGUAGUGACUCUUGUGAGCACGCUUACCUACUAUCUUAUUAGUCCCAUUACCUUAUAGCCUUAUUAGUCUUUAUUAUCUACUAUCUUUAAUAAGCCUCAUAAUAGCCCUCUGAAGUAGGUCCUAUUAUUUGCCUCAUUUCUAGAUGAGAAUAUUGAAGCACAGAGGAGUCAAGAAACUUAUCCAAAUUCACACAGCAAGAAAGUGGUUGGGCCAGGAUUUGAACACAGGCAGUCUGGCUCUGGGACCAAAUACUUAAUCACUAGGUUAGUCUGGCCCAGCUGAACAUAUGAAAGCCUGUCACGGAACUGAACUAAAUGGAAUAAGGGUUGAAUUGAUGUUUGUGGUGUAACCACUAUGCGUCCAGCUCUGUACUAGAUGCCUUCACCACUCUGUGCAGUCAUGGUUAUUAUCAACCCAUUUUACUGCUAAGGAUACUAAGGCCCAGAGAGAUUCAGUUGCUUGUUAAAAGCUGCAGAGCUAGGAAGUGGAGGAACUGAGUUGUGAACCCAUAUCAGUCUGAUUCCCAAACCCACACCCUGUACACAAGGUCAAAGAACCAUUAUAACACUUAAGUGGGUCUACCCAGCUAAAGCUCACUUAUUAGCUAAAUACAUCAGAACCCUCCUGACAUCAGGCUGAGAUCUCUUGGAACCUUUGUCCUGAGUAGGUGGAGAACUAACUAUGUGGGCCUUAUAGCAGGAAGAAGGUGACUAAAAGAAGGUGACCUAAACGAAGGUGAUUUUGGGGGAAUGUUCUUUGUCUUUUUUUUUUUUAACAUCUUUAUUGGAGUAUAAUUGCUUUACAAUGGUGUGUUAGCUUCUGCUUUAUAACAAAGUGCAUCAGUUAUACAUAUACAUAUAUUCCCAUAUCUCUUCCCUCUUGCGCCUCCCUCCCUCCCACCCUCCCUAUCCCACCCCUCUAGGUGGUCACAAACCACCGAGCUGAUCUCCCUGUGCUAUGGUCUUUGUCUUACUGACCGUUUUUGUAAGCCCACUCUGUUCGAUGAGAAGGGAGCCUUAGAGGUAGAUGGCCAGAGUCUUAGAAUUUUAUUUUCUUUUUCUUUUAAUCAAACCUCUAGGCUUAUAACCCAAGAGCACUCACUCUACUUAUAUAAGCAUUUCCAAAAACCAUUUUCUCAAGAAGGAGAUUAUAAUGUCUCAUCUACACUGAACAACCACCCACUUCCUCAAAUGCAAGGAAGCAGACAGUUAAAAAAAAAAAAAAAAAAAAAAGCCAAGAGGCAGCCGUUGUUUAUCACGACCUUGCCUCAGUGAGGCCUGAGAUUCUUUCGAACAGGAGCUUUGCUUCCCAUGACGCAGAGUGAAGUGUCAACUGGGAUAUUUCUGGUAAUACUGAAAGCAGGAAAAGCAGGGUGCACACUUUACGAGGUACCAGCCUCCCGAGGGACCGUGGGCAGGUUUGGGUGCCAUCCCCGGUGACAGAUGGAUGGACCUUUCAUCUGAGAAAGGAGAAGACAUGCUGGCAGAUCAACCUCAAACCCAAGAUUGCUUGUGAAGCAAUCGUAAAGGGGAAAACACACACACACAAGCUUGUGAGGCAAGAAGAUCAAAAAGCCAAGAAGGGCGUGAAUUGAGGCAGACUCCCUGCUUCAGCAGCUACUCACCCAAACCAGAAGCAAAAUGUCCCUGAAGUUGCCAAGAAACUGGGAUUUCAACCUGCGAGGGGAGGCUGGGAAAAUAGGUAUGGUCAACGUCUUUUUGCUGCCUUUGUUGUUCUCAUACUUGAGUUCCCACCAUUUGCAUGUUGGUCUGCAGGGAGCAUAGUCUACUUAAAAAUGAAUCUGUCGGCAGAGUUGGGUUUGGGGUAAAAUUUGCAUUCAAACUGAUAUGUUGGCUCAGAGUUCCCAAGUGCUGGGGAGGGGUUUUUUGUUUGGAGGUGGUGGGAAUGGAGCUCCUUGGUGUGUGGGAUCUGGGGUACUUGGGAUGGACUAAGGCUACAGAUCUCACAAAACAUGGUGAGUUUUUCUCUGUUUAUCAUGGAAGGAUAAUUUCCCUCCUGUUUGGACACUCAUCCGUAUUUUGAGUGGAUUUUGGUAGGAAUCUUUGGAAAUGCUUGAUCUGUAAAGGAACGCAAGGUGUUCUGUUUUGUGAGCCCACUGGGUCCCCAGACCUUCUCUGUGGACUCGGGGCUAAGGUGGUGUUACUUGUAGCAAAAAGUAAAUAGUGUGGACAAGACAGGAAUAUAGAGACCUUUGAAGGUAUAACAAAGACACGUUUAAUUAAAGGGACAGAAUACAUUUUAGAUUAAUUACCUUAGGGGACUCUGGUGUGUUUUCUGAGAUAUUCUGGCCUUUAAUUCAUACCUCUUCUCAUUAAUGAUGAUGGUGAUACAUUGAUUUUUAAAAAAAAUUUUUAUUGAAAUAUAGUUGAUUUACACUGUUGUGUUGGUUUCAGGUGUACAGCAAAGUGAUUCAAUUGUACAUGUAUAUAAACAUAUAUAUUCUUUUUUCACAUCAUCUUCCAUUAUAGGUUAUGACAAGAUAUUGAGUAUAGUUCCCUGUGUUAUACAGUAGGUCCUUGUUGGUUAUCUAUUUUAUAUAUAGUAGUGUGCAUAUUUUAAUCUGAAACUCCUAAUUUAUUUCUUCC